rnacentral:rRNA from 1 species
UACGAAGGGGGCUAGCGUUGUUCGGAAUUACUGGGCGUAAAGCGCGUGUAGGCGGGUCUUUAAGUCAGAGGUGAAAUCCCAAGGCUCAACCGUGGAACUGCCUUUGAUACUGGGCAUCUUGAGUUCGGGAGAGGUGAGUGGAACUGCGAGUGUAGAGGUGAAAUUCGUAGAUAUUCGCAAGAACACCAGUGGCGAAGGCGGCUCACUGGCCCGAUACUGACGCUGAGGUGCGAAAGCGUGGGGAGCAAACAGG